GUAAUUCAUUGAUAUUAAAGGGCUGUGGUUGGAUUCAAAAUCCGCCGGUGAAUAACCGUGUCGGUUCGAGUCCGACCCCGGGCACCA
rnacentral:tRNA from 1 species